rnacentral:rRNA from 1 species
AGUACGUGAAACUGCUUAGAGGUUAAACCCGAUGAACCUGAAUAUCCAUUAUGGAAAAUUCAAUACUAAUAUUAUAAUAUUUAAAAAAUAUUUAUAAAAAUAGUGUGCAAUUUUUCCAUAUAAGGACAUUGUAAUCUGUUAAUGUAAUAAUUAUUUAUCAAAAGAUUCUUUACUUAAGUUUAUUUAAAUUGUUUAUUCUUUUGAAUAUUCAACAUAAAAUAAAUGUAUUGAAUUAGAUAAAUCAUUGACAGAUAUAAUUAUAUAAUGUGCUUAAAUUCAUUUAUGAAUUUUACAAUAUUAAAUGAAUCUAUUGAUUUAUUUAAUUAAAAUUGUUUGCACUAUUAUGAUUAACAAUGCGAUAGAUUCAGGAUACCUUCGGGACCCGUCUUGAAACACGGACCAAGGAGUCUAACAUAUGUGCAAGUCAUUGGGUAUUUUUAAUAAAACCUAAUGGCAUAAUUAACUUAACUUUUUAUAAUGGGAUUAAUUUAUAUUAUUCUUUAUUGAAUAUAUUUAUUCAAUCCCGGGGCGUUCUAUACAGUUAUGUAUAAUAAUAUUUAUAUUAUUUAUACCUCUAACUAGAGCGUACCUUGAGC